GUACAACAUUUAAUUAGUUGUCAGUUUUAACACAUUAAACAACAGAAGUUGUAAAUGUCCUAGAUAUCUACAAGUACACGCACACACAUAUAUACCAGUGUCCUAAAUAAUGGAGAGCAAUUGUCACAGAAAUGUUUUAAAAUAUACUUUUGUUUUGAGGGUUACUAGGUUGCACAUGAUACUGCAAUUUGCAUUGUAUGCUGUUCAGAAGGAGCCAUGGGGAGAUCUGUGAAGACCUGGAAAUCCUAUUUCAAGAGUUGGGGCCAUCUGCAGUGUAAGAAAAAGGGCCAGGUUGUCAUUCUGUUCAGAAGUCUGCAGGGGUCAAAAACGGGUAUCUCUGUGAACAAACUUCUUCCAAGAGGCCAAGGGGGAAAAUUAAUAAUCAAUUUGUUAUUGUACAGCA